UUUGUUUACAUUGUUGCUUGCAUACUGCAAACUCCACCCCCACCCCAUGAGACAAGACUUCCUUUUUUUCCCUCUGUGCAUGGCCUGCAGGAUUGGGGUGGUAGAAGAUGACAGGGACCAGAGUCUGUUUGCAGCCCUCCUCCCUUCUUCCACCAGGAGAUGCUUUGAUCUGGGGCUUCCUCAGCAGGGUUGUCCCAUGCCACAUGCCUCUUGUGGCUGAUUAGGCUAGUGUCCCCUUAUAGUUUGUGACCAAAGACUCAGAAAUCCCUCACUUAUCCCAGGAAGGGAAUCAUGACUAUAAAGCAGGGGCCAAGGACACUCAGCACUGUGACUACAUUUGGCGUUUGUGUUUUAAGGUCCAGGUCUAAAGAAAGGAGUGUGGGGUUUAGAGGCUCUUAUACCACCGUUGGAGGCUGGAUAUCUGAUCUUUCAUGUGUUUGACCUAUGCAUAUAAACUAAGAACAAAAAUCUUAAAAAAAAAAAAAUUCCGAAGGCAUCAGAGUGAAAACCCACUGUGUUCAUGAGUAAUCCCUGGAGAUACUGUCUAUCCCCACCUCUGUAUUCUAAGAGGCAGAGAGAGAUGGAGUUGAGAGAGCAGAGGAGAGGGGACAGGAGUAUUGUUCUUCUCUUCCUCCUUAGAGCAACCACAGCAAGGGAAGCCAUCACACGUAGAUUCAAUGUAACAUGAUAACUUAAGCUUUGAUACAUAUACAAGAAUCUGGGGUAGACAAGGACUCAAAACUCCUAUCUGAUUUCUAACAGCGUAAUCUAUGAAAAUGGCCAAAGCCUCCUGAGACCACCUGUGUUCCACCCACAGCAGUCCCAAAUGUACUUGGCACUGUGGAGCAAAAGUAGCUCUUACUUAUGAGCUACCCCAGGCUAAGUGUCUGGGCUUAACACACCCCAGCCUUAUAUGAAAACCAGUGUCUGAAACACUUUGGAGAUUCUGAAUUCUAGAGCCGGUCCACAAAGGAGAUCCUGGUGGUCAGCCUUUGGAUCUGAGAAGCCAGCUGCCCUCACUCAGGAAGCAGCAGGUCCUGGCUGCAGGAAACAUGCAGGGAUGUUCUGCUGUGUGUUACUACUGUGAAGCUGUCCUGAUUGUUAAUAGGCAGUGUGCACUCCGUAUCCAUUUUUUGAAAAAAAAAAAAAAAAAAAAAAAGAAGAAGUACAUUGCAUUUAGGAAUUACUUCCCUGGAGCAUCGGUUUCACUUCCGGCUCCCCAUUCCGCAUCGCCUAAAUGAAGGUAUCAUAUUGCUCAUUUUGCUAACUUACCUCAAGCUCAUCAAAGGGACGACGUAAGGGUAUGUGCGUAGACUUAGUAGAAAAUGAUUAGGUGAAAGAAAAAAAUGCUCUGUUGACAUUCAAGAACAAAGAAGCACAACCCUUCCCAUAGAAAUUCCUAGGAUUGGCUGCCAGGGGACAGCAUUUGAGAGGUAUAAUUAGAAUUAGCUGAGUGUGUGAAAGAGUCUUUUGAAUGCGCUGUGUACGCCAUAUCCUGCACACUGUCCUGAGGUCAAAGGUUUGAUAUUUUUGUAUAAUUCCUUCUUAUCUUGUACACCCACUGUGUGAUUUACGUCAAGGUAAAUGAACAUCCUGUUUUAUGUCUUAAAUAAAAAAAAAAAGAUGUCUC
rnacentral:lncRNA from 1 species